rnacentral:rRNA from 1 species
CAUGAAGUCGGAAUUGCUAGUAAUCGCGGAUCAGCAUGCCGCGGUGAAUACGUUCCCGGGCCUUGUACACACCGCCCGUCACACCAUGAGAGUUGGCAAUACCCAACGUACGUGAUCUAACCCGCAAGGGAGGAAGCGUCCUAAGGUAGGGUCAGCGAUUGGGGUGAAGUCGUAACAAGGUAAC